GCAUAUCAAUAAGCGGAGGAAAAGAAACUAACAAGGAUUCCCCUAGUAACUGCGAGUGAAGCGGGAAAAGCUCAAAUUUAAAAUCUGGCGGUCUUAUGGCYGUCCGAGUUGUAAUCUGGAGAAGUGUUUUCCGCGUCGGACCGUGUACAAGUCUCCUGGAACGGAGCGUCAUAGAGGGUGAGAAUCCCGUCCAUGACACGGACCGCCGAUGCUUUGUGAUACACUCUCGAAGAGUCGAGUUGUUUGGGAAUGCAGCUCAAAAUGGGUGGUAAAUUCCAUCUAAAGCUAAAUAUUGGCGAGAGACCGAUAGCGAACAAGUACCGUGAGGGAAAGAUGAAAAGCACUUUGGAAAGAGAGUUAAACAGUACGUGAAAUUGUUGAAAGGGAAACGCUUGAAGUCAGUCGCGUCUUUCAGAACUCAGCCUUGCUUCGGCCUGGUGUACUUUCUGUUAGACGGGUCAACGUCAAUUUCGAUCGGCGGAGAAAGGUUGAGGGAAUGUAGCGUUGUUUCGGCGACGUGUUAUAGCCCUCUUCUGUAUACGUCGGCUGGGAUUGAGGACCGCAGCGCGCCUUUAUGGCCAGGGGUUCGCCCCAUGUACCGCGCUUAGGAUGUUGGCAUAAUGGCUUUAAGCGACCCGUCUUGAAACACGGACCAAGGAGUCUAACAUGCUUGCGAGUAUUCGGGUGGAAAACCCUUGUGCGUAAUGAAAGUAAAAGUUGGGAGCCUCCGCGAGGGGGUGCACCGACGCCCGGCCCUGACGUUCUCUGACGGUGCUGCGGUAGAGCAAGUAUGUUGGGACCCGAAAGAUGGUGAACUAUGCCUGAAUAGGGCGAAGCCAGAGGAAACUCUGGUGGAGGCUCGUAGCGAUUCUGACGUGCAAAUCGAUCGUCAAAUUUGGGUAUAGGGGCGAAAGACUAAUCGAACCAUCUAGUAGCUGGUUCUGC
rnacentral:rRNA from 1 species